GGCUCGCACCUGUGCAACCCGGCCCCGCGAACCCGGUCAGGCCCGGAAGGGAGCAGCCGUAAGCGGACCGCAGGGUGUGCCGCAGGCUCGUCGAGCCCCU
rnacentral:SRP_RNA from 1 species